UGUGGCUCAGUGGUAGAGCACUUGCCUGGCAAGCUCGAGAUCCUGGGUUCAAUUCCCUAGCA
rnacentral:tRNA from 1 species